CUCGCUCUCCUCCCCGAUCUGGAGAGGCACCCGACGUGGUCGUCGCCGUCGCUGCGCCGAUCCCGCGGCCACCGGACUCCCCUCGUCGAUGCAACAAGUUCAGGAGCUCCGUAGUGUUCGUCUACGCCAUCUACAACCAUCCGUUCGAGUUCGGCGCCUCUACAUCGUGCGGAUCGAGCUUCUUCUUCCCCGGUCGCCGCCGACUUUCAUCUCCAAAUUCGUCCAACCUUGCGCUCCUGAGCUCCCACCGGGCCUACUUGUGCCUCCACGGUGAGCUCAUCUCUCGAUUCCCCUGCUUUUCCCCCUCAAUCUGAUGCCGUAGACGUCGCCCCAUGAGGACCAGUCGCCAUGGCCGGAGUUUGGCCCGUCCGUGCCCGUGGUCACGCCCGUAUGCCCGUGCUGCUCCAGCCUAAGCCCCUGACCGCACGUGGGCGCCCAACCGCGCCCCACGCACUUGUGCCUCGCCGGCGCGCACGUCCACAGCCGCUCGCGCGAGCCCGCACUUGCCUCUGGCCAUUGCCAUGCCCGCUGCGUGUGUGCUGCUAUCGCCCGCUCCGCCCUCCUGCUGCUCACGCUCCGGCCGCCGCUCGUGCUCACCGCCGCGUGGCCGUGCUCACGCGCGCCCCUGGCUGUGCCCCUGCGCCGCCCGAGCGUGCAUCCAUCGCGGCUUGGCCGUGCCCGCCCGCGCUGCUGCUGGCUAUUGCCGUUGCCGCUUCUAAUUCUUGCUUCAACUGGCACUACUGCUUUCUGCUGCCGCUACUUCCUGCUGCUGCCUCUGCUUUCCCCUGCUCCUCGCUGCAUCCCGCAGCCGUCCGAUUGCCCCGACGCACGCCUGCGCUGUCCGCUCGCCCAGCCGUCUGCUUGCUCGGCCACCAGUGUUGCGGCUGGUGCUGGCCGCGAGCGCCCCAUGCGUGCGCUCGUGUGUGAGGCACAGCCACACAGUGGCCAGCUAGUGCCAUUGCCACCUGGGCCCUGCUAGGAUUAGAUUAGAUGCUAAUCUAAUUAUAGGCCACUAACCCAGCACCUUACACACUACUAAUGGCCCCCACCACUAACUAGGCAAAAUAAACAAUAUGUUUAAUAUAAUGGCCCAAUGACAUCUGGGCCCCACUGCCCAGUUUUGACCAAUCAACCCAGUCAAUGUUGACUGUUGACCCUGCUGACUCAACACCCCACUGGCCCCACACGUCAGCCUGUGUGUGCAUUGAUGCGUACACUCUAGUAGGUGCACUUAGCAUUUUCAUUUAAUAUAAUUUUCGAAUUAAUUUAAUUUUAGAAAAUUGAUUAAAUUUUUUAAAAUUAAUAUAAAACAAACCUUAGCUCGGAUGGAAAAACUUUGUACAUGAAAGUUGCUCAGAACGAUGAGACGAAUCCGGAUACGCAGCCCGUUCACCCGCCACACAUCCCUAGCAUAGCAAACACGCAACUUUCCCCCUCCGGUUCAUCUGUCCAAAACGCGAAACACCGGUAAUACUUUCCCGGAUGUUUCUCCCCUUUGCCGAUAUCACCUACUACCGCGUUAGGGCACAUCUAGCACCGCGUUUGUCAUGUUAUGCUUUGUGAUGCUUUGAUUGCUCUGUUAUUUAUUGUGUUCCCCCUUCGUUACUUCUUUCCGGUAGAUCCUGAGACCGAUGCCGGUACCCCUGUGAUCGACUACAUGGACGACGAACCCUUUUUGCCAGAGCAACCAGGCAAGCCCCCCCCUUGAUCACCAGAUAUCGCCUAUUCCUUAUCUAUACUGCUUGCAUUAGAGUAGUGUAGCAUGUUACUGCUUUCGGUUAAUCCUAUACUGAUGCAUAGCCUGUCAUUGUUGCUACGGUUGUUACCCUUACCUGCUAUCCUACUGCUUAGUAUAGGUUGCUAGUGUUCCAUCAGUGGCCCUACACUCUUCUCCGUCUGCCAUGCUAUACUACUGGGCCGUGAUCACUUCGGGAGGUGAUCAUGGGUAUAUACUAUAUACUUUAUAUACAUGACACAUGUGGUGACUAAAGUCGGGUCGGCUCGAGGAGUACCCGCAAGUGAUGCUGAUGAGGGGGCUGAAAGGACAGGUGGCUCCAUCCUGGUAGAGGUGGGCCUGGGUUCCUGACGGCCCCCGACUGUUGCUUUAUGGCGGAGCGACAGGGAAGGUUGAGACCACCCAGGAGAGAGGUGGGCCUGGCCCUGGUCGGCGUUCGCGGUUACUUCAAAUAACACGCUUAACGAGUUCUGGGUAUUUCAUCUGAGUCUGGCCAUUUGGUCUAUACGCACUAACCAUCUAUGCGGGAGUAGUUAUGGGCAUCCCGGCGUCGUGGUAUCAGCCGAAGCCUUCGUGACGUCAGCGACUGAGUGGCGCGCGCCGCAUUGGACCGUAAGCUCGCGCUUGUAUUAAGGGGGCUAGGUCUGCUUCCGGCCGCGUACGCAACGUGCAGGUGUGCAAUGGGCGAUGGGCCCAGACCCCUGCGCUCAUAGGGUUUAGACCGGCAUGCUGACCUCUCUGUGGUGCCUAGGUAGGGCUGCGACGUGUUGAUCUUACAAGGCUGGGCAUGACCCAGAAAAGUGUGUCCGGCCAAAUGGGAUCGAGCGUGUUGGGUUAUGUGGUGCACCCCUGCAGGGAAGUUUAUCUAUUCGAAUAGCCGUGUCCCUCGGUAAAAGGACGACCCGGAGUUGUACCUUGACCUUAUGACAACUAGAACUGGAUACUUAAUAAAACACACCCUUCCAAGUGCCAGAUAUAACCCGGUGAUCGCUCUCUAACAGGGCGACGAGGAGGGGAUCGCCGGGUAGGAUUAUGCUAUACGAUGCUAUUUGGUGAACUUACCAUCUACUCUCCUCUACAUGCUGAAAGAUGGAGGUGGCCAGAAGCGUAGUCUUCGACAGGAUUAGCUAUCCCCCUCUUAUUCUGGCAUUCUGCAGUUCAGCCCAUCGAUAUGGCCCUUUACACAUAUACCCAUGCAUAUGUAGUGUAGCUCCUUGCUUGCGAGUACUUUGGAUGAGUACUCACGGUUGCUUUUCUCCCUCUUUUCCCCUAUCUGUACCUGGUUGUCGCAACCAGAUGCUGGAGUCCAGGAGCUAGAGAUCCCGAGGAUGAUUCUACAUGGAGUUCGGCUUCGAGGAAUAGUUAGGAGGUCCCAGGCAGGAGGCCUUGCCUUUUCGAUCGUUGCUACUUUUGUGCUAGCCUUCUUAAGGCAAACUUGUUUAACUUAUGUCUGUACUCAGAUAUUGUUGCUUCCGCUAACUCGUCUAUGAUCGAGCACUUGUAUUCGAGCCCUCGAGGCCCCUGGCUUGUAUUAUGAUGCUUGUAUGACUUAUUUAUGUUGUAGAGUUGUGUUGUGAUAUCUUCCCGUGAGUCCCUGAUCUUGAUCGUACACAUUUGCGUGCAUGAUUAGUGUACGGUCAAAUCGGGGGCGUCACAAGUUGGUAUCAGAGCCGACUGCCUCUAGGAAUCCUCCUUUCCAACUCCUUGGCCGAAGUUGAGUCUAGUCAGUGAAAACUGUUUUACUAACAUGGCUGUGUGGCUUACGGGCCCACGUCGCCAUUGGGUGGUAUUAUGAUCUUUUACUCCUUGUCUAUACUCUGGGACUUUGAACUCUUUCCUAUUCGGGUUAAAUGAUUUUUCUAAAAGGACUAACUGUAGGUUCUCGUAAAUACUUUCUCCCGGAGAGCCCUUUAUCACAGAUGGUCGCCGACUGCACCAGAAGAUGUUGAGGAUACUCUUCGAUCAUUCCCGAGACCCUUGUGCCCUCUGCCUUUUCAAUUCCCUACUACCGAUAUAUCCAUAUGGAUAACAACAUACACUUGUUGUUCAUACAAUUACUCUGAGUUUCUCUUGUUAUUACCAGAUACAUCGAAUUACUCUCCGGCUUUUAAGAAUCCCUUGUACCACUGCCUUGUAGUUCCUUGCCGCAGAAAUACCCAUACGGAUAAUUACUCGCACCUACCGAGUAUGGACUCAUCCCUAGUUGAUUCAUGUAUUUCACAAUAGUCUUCAAAAUACUAUUAGAUCUUCCGAAAAUCCUCAGGAGCCUAUUGCUCUUGAAAUUCUUGUUUGGUUGCAUUAUGGUUAAUCCCAUAAGUCUCGUAAUCUUAUUGGCAUCUCUUGUCAUUAUCAUUUUGAGUCCGUUGAUUCAAUUUGUUGCGAAUGCUCGCAAUCCUCAGUCAGAUCCUAGAAUUCAUCCUUCCGGCUCAGACGUCAUUUUAAACGUGAGCUGGAUCUCGACCUAUCAAAUUGCCAUCGAUUGUACCCCUAAGCCUACUCAACUUAUCCAUCCUUGAUCAGAGCGUAGCUUCUGACCCCCUGAUUUGGAAAUCAUAAUUCUUUUGCAUUUGAACUUUGAGUUAGUCAGUUGUUUCUAUAAUCAGAUCUCCUUGCAUACUUCUUCCUCUGGUUGAGUACCGAUGCUCACAUCAGAUCCCUUGUGGACCAUCGGUUCCUUUGUUGGAUUUUAUCCGACAGUGUCCUUCAUAUUGAAUAACCUUGUGAGCCUUUCCACGGGUAUAUAAUGCCUUUGGUAAAUUGUAUCUUCUGCUUUGUCAACCAUGCUCUACUUUUGAGCUUGUGUUAUUUACUUCUGAAGUUCAUGGUAUAUGUUCUAAGAAGCCCUGAUGGCUUGAACCUAUGCCUUCCUUAAUAUGUGUGAACUCAAAAGUUUUCACGAGUCAUACUCUUCUGGUAUUUUGCCAUAUAAAAUUUCAACACUACAACUUCAUCGAACGCGAGAAGUGAAUGGAAGGUUAUACAUUGAAGAAGUGGGAGUCGACCUUGAACCUUUGUGUUCAUGCCCAUGGACACGAUGUAGAUCCUAUCAUGGAAGCUUCUUAUAAUAAUAGCUAUUUCCCUGGUAUAAUAUCAUCUGGUAUCGGUGAAUUGAUCCUUUGCAAUCGUGGUUUCGACCAAGUUUCUCCUUGAUUCCGUUUCUCGUGCAAGUUUGAGCACUUGUCUUCUGCAAAGCAAUACCCUAGUCCAACCUCUACCUUGAUCUAUCGUCGAAUAUUUCCCCCUGGUAUCUCGAGAUUAUCAUGGAACUGCAUAACUUCUUAUGAGUUCUUCAUCAAGUGCUACAUUCUCACUGAUUCCAAUUUUCCACGGGCUCUGAGUUAUUAAUCACGCAAAGACACCGAUAACUGAACCGAGUCCGCACUAUGGUUCAACAACUCUUAGUAAUCUUCUUUAAGUACGAGUUUGUACCCGAUCACGCCAUUACUAGCCUGUUUGGCUAUAUCAUUAAAUUGAUGAUUUUAACUGUGCUACCUGUCCUUAUUCCCGGAGCACCACUUUCGACGAUGAGCUAAGCUUACGUUGAUAUUCCCCAUCAUAUCGUUUCACCUCGAACAACAAACUUGACCCCGAGUUUGUGUAGUAUCCGUGGCUCCAAUAAUCUUUUGUUGCAUCAGUCCUUUUGCUUGAUGCAGUCGCUGAUCAAUUGCUUCUUCGUGGAUCCCCUCGACAACAAAAGGUCGUGAUCAUCAUCAACAUUUUGACUCCUUCCAGGAUAUCAAUGGAAUUCUUGAUGAUAAGUGCCAUCCUCGUUCCUUGGUAAUUUGAGUUACCAUCGACAACAUCCUUACAUUAUUUUCAUCACAAACUUGAUCAUGUUAUGGAGCUCCUUGCUAACCAGCUUAUGUUAUGUUCUACCUUGGAGUAUUACCAUCUUUUAGGUCAAGGACAUUGUGAGAAUUUCUCCACCUCUUGAGAAUUCUUGAUAUAGUAAUACUUCUCGCCAUUUCCAUUUGUUUUCUGAUCCCCGUGUUGUUUCUAACCUGAAUACCGACAAUUGAACUAUGAUUCGUGAAUUCAAAACUUCUAGCAAUCCUAUUGUAACGCCCCGGACACACCCGCCGGUGGUCGUUAAUCCUGGCGGGAUCUAGACUGGCCUCACAGAUCAAUACUAGUCUUUUCUGCGCACUUUGUCCUCACUCGUGCACACCCGGGAGCAACUUCCCGGUCGGUCACCCAUCCUGACACUACUCCAAGCUGAGCACGCUUAACUUUGGAGUUCUUUCCGAAUGGGCUCCCGGAAAAGAAGGAAUUCCUUAUUGAUAUGAGUAGUCUAUCAUCCCUAAUAAGCCAGGAUUUCACAUACACCCCCACUCAGAGGAACCGACGUCCUCGUCGGGCCACAGGAACGUUCCCUCUUGGCACAUGCGUCUGUGCUUCCAGUCCGGCACGUGUGCCAUGCCGUGUGCCACGACGGGUCACAAACGUCAUGCACAACAUGACCGCACACCUGUCCGCAAACAUCCGUGUAACCAAGAGGGUCGGCUCUGAUACCAACUUGUAACGCCCCGGACACACCCGCCGGUGGUCGUUACUCCUGGCGGGAUCUAGACUGGCCUCACAGAUCAAUACUAGUCUUUUCUGCGCACUUUGUCCUCACUCGUGCACACCCGGGAGCAACUUCCCGGUCGGUCACCCAUCCUGAAACUACUCCAAGCUGAGCACGCUUAACUUUGGAGUUCUUUCCGAAUGGGCUCCCGGAAAAGAAGGAAUUCCUUAUUGAUAUGAGUAGUCUAUCAUCCCUAAUAAGCCAGGAUUUCACACCUAUUGCUUUGAAGUUAAUGGUCGGCCGUUCAUUCUUAGACUAUUGAUUAUUGAAUCACCCGUCUGACAUUGGUCGUCCAACCCAGCCCAUAUUUCGGGUGCACCUUUCAACCAAUGUUUAACUAUGUAUGUUUCCCUCGAGCACACAUCAUUAUAUCAUUUGAUUUGACUAAUGUUAUCUCCUUGUUCACAUAAAUGUGGAAACUCAUCUUUUGGAAGUCUCAAUGAAUUGUCGCUGAGUUCAUUAGCUACCUCCUCAUGCUCUCGUUGGUUUAAUGUUGAACUCUUGUUUUGGAACUCGCUUCCAUAGUUCAUUUCCCGAUAAUCUUGCAAUGUCAUCUCGUCAAUUUGUGUUGCACCUUUUUCUCUCAGCCAUUCUGAGUCUGAGAUGUCCUGACAACAAUCAGAUCUGAGUCUCGGUUAGAUAUGAUGGUUGGAACAUUUUCCAAGAUUUAUAACAUUGGUCUUCAUGUGACCUGGUAAGGUGAUGUCAUGCCUAGCACACCUGGCCGGAGGACCUAUUGUUAUAGUUUCCUUUUUAGCGAGGUUAUCCAUUCUUCCAUAAGGAAAAUGUAAGACUUAUUCUGUAAGUCAUUCCUGAUGGAUCCUUCGCGUAUCCAGAGUCUGACCUUUGCUUGCUGACCAUGUCAAUGCUAUCUCGAAGCAUGUCUGAGGUACUUCGAUCAUUAAUAAGAGCAUUUGAAGCACAAUGCUAAAUUUUCUUUAUCAGUUAUCCAAACACCGUUGUUUGGGUAAUGUCAUGAAAUUCCUCUCCCCUUGCCUAAAUGGUUUCCUACUUUCUAUCAUGUCGUGGAUAUCAUGCUUUGCUUGUCCUUGGGAAGGAUAUACCCCUGAAAUAUGUGUUUAUACACAUUUUUCCUUUCCUUUGUCCUGUUUAAUCUGAGAAUCAUGUUUUCCUUUCCAUUGUUUUGUUUAUCCUUUCUUGUGAUCUAUAUAAAAUAAGCAGUAAUAUUUCCCUGCUUAUGUAAACACCUCGGUGUGCAACCUUGUCAGCCAGACCCUGUUACUAUUGUUGAUGACAUUCCGGUAACCACUGAUGGACGGGAACUUAGCCUAUUGGCCCGCCUUGUUCAACAAGCAGGAAAAUGGUUCUCUUCGUGCCUCGCCCUUGGUACCGACGUUGUUGCCGAUAUAACUGACAGACUAUCCUCUAACAAGCCUUGCUAUCAUAACCGUGCAAGAUGUCACCGCUCUUUCUACCUUUAACCCCCAUGGUGGGCCCAUAACCCACAGUUCCACAGGAUCGAAACCUAACUCUCCUGUACACCCAUGUUUCUAAAGUGAAUCCUCAUGCUUGGCUUCGUAUGUAGAUCAUAAGCCACCUUUCAAAAGAUCAUUGAUUUUAGUAUCAGACACAAUACUUAUUCCCAUUACUCUGAACCCUUUCAUGCGCUGUUUCAGGCAUCGAAUGAUUGCCUGCCCGCACGCCCGAAACUUCCCACGAUACCUCCUUACUUUGCUCUUGAUAUUUUCUUAAGUUUCAGUUCGAGAGUUACUUUCCGCCACCUUCCCCGAGGUUGGCUAGCAGAUAAGCAACCUUGAAGAGGUCAGUUCUUCUGAAGAUACCCCUUAUCCUUUUCCGUAAGUACGAUGGAGAUCGUGAAGAAAAGGAUGACAACUUUGUCACAAUAGCCUGAAGUGGAGAACUAAAUACAUCAUCUCAAAGGAUCAACUACUUCGGGAAGAGCAACCGAGACCGAGAAGAUCCAUUAGAAUCUUGUAACCAGCACUUUCCACCCUUUCCCCCACCUCUUAUAUCUCGGGACGAGAUUUCUUGUAGUGGAGGAGAUUUGUAACACCCCGGCAGUUAAGCUACAGUAACCACUCACUAAUGGUGCCAUGUCAUCACAUUUUUCUUGCUAAUGAUCACUUUGUUCCAAAUCAAACUCAAAUUCAAAUUCAAAAUACGAGUCAAAUUAUUAGUUCUUUCAAAAGGUAAAUUAAAACUGUUCAUUGGGUUACAAGUAUUCGCUAACUAAUUGUCAUGAUUAAACCAACAUUACUUGACUCACCAGUUAAUCCCUAGUAAUUUCUGAAGUGGUCCCUUAUCAUCUUAAUGAACCAUUUAAGUUUUAAACAUGAUUUAAAAAAUUCAAAAUAACUCCAAACUUUUUGUGGUAGUGUCCAAAAUUGCAAUACAAAUUAUGAGCCAAGUUUCAUAAUUUUACAAAAUCAAUUUGGCGGAUUAACUUUACAUAAAAUAGUAGAUAAAAGAAAAAUAGUAAACAAAAAAAAGAAGAAAACCUAAACUACUGGGCGCUUAGGCCCAUGUGGCUGGGGAGGCUUAGCCCAGCCGCUCUUCUCCCACCUCUUGUUCACAGGAGGGCGUGGAGGCCAUCCAUGGCGCCUCGGCCAGGUGCCGGCCAUCCACGCCUCCCCCUCGACUACAAGACCCCCUUCGCCCCUCCCCCUCGACCCCGUGACCCUGGUCAAACCCUAGCCACUACCCCCCACUUACCCCUCGCUCUCCUCCCUGAUCUGGAGACGCACCCGAUGUGGUCGCCGCCGUCGCUGCGCCGAUCCCGCGGCCACCGGACUCCCCUCGUCGAUGCAACAAGUUCAGGAGCUCCGUAGUGUUCGUCUAUGCCAUCUACAACCAUCCGUUCGAGUUCGACGACUCUACAUCGUGCGGAUCGACCUUCUUCUUCCCCGGUCGCCGCCGACUUUCAUCUCCAAAUUCGUCCAACCCUGCGCUCCUGAGCUCCCACCGGGCCUACUUGUGCCUCCACG
rnacentral:lncRNA from 1 species